UGUUAGCGGCGGACGGGUGAGUAACACGUGGGUAACCUGCCUGUAAGACUGGGAUAACUCCGGGAAACCGGGGCUAAUACCGGAUGGUUGUCUGAACCGCAUGGUUCAGACAUAAAAGGUGGCUUCGGCUACCACUUACAGAUGGACCCGCGGCGCAUUAGCUAGUUGGUGAGGUAACGGCUCACCAAGGCGACGAUGCGUAGCCGACCUGAGAGGGUGAUCGGCCACACUGGGACUGAGACACGGCCCAGACUCCUACGGGAGGCAGCAGUAGGGAAUCUUCCGCAAUGGACGAAAGUCUGACGGAGCAACGCCGCGUGAGUGAUGAAGGUUUUCGGAUCGUAAAGCUCUGUUGUUAGGGAAGAACAAGUGCCGUUCAAAUAGGGCGGCACCUUGACGGUACCUAACCAGAAAGCCACGGCUAACUACGUGCCAGCAGCCGCGGUAAUACGUAGGUGGCAAGCGUUGUCCGGAAUUAUUGGGCGUAAAGGGCUCGCAGGCGGUUUCUUAAGUCUGAUGUGAAAGCCCCCGGCUCAACCGGGGAGGGUCAUUGGAAACUGGGGAACUUGAGUGCAGAAGAGGAGAGUGGAAUUCCACGUGUAGCGGUGAAAUGCGUAGAGAUGUGGAGGAACACCAGUGGCGAAGGCGACUCUCUGGUCUGUAACUGACGCUGAGGAGCGAAAGCGUGGGGAGCGAACAGGAUUAGAUACCCUGGUAGUCCACGCCGUAAACGAUGAGUGCUAAGUGUUAGGGGGUUUCCGCCCCUUAGUGCUGCAGCUAACGCAUUAAGCACUCCGCCUGGGGAGUACGGUCGCAAGACUGAAACUCAAAGGAAUUGACGGGGGCCCGCACAAGCGGUGGAGCAUGUGGUUUAAUUCGAAGCAACGCGAAGAACCUUACCAGGUCUUGACAUCCUCUGACAAUCCUAGAGAUAGGACGUCCCCUUCGGGGGCAGAGUGACAGGUGGUGCAUGGUUGUCGUCAGCUCGUGUCGUGAGAUGUUGGGUUAAGUCCCGCAACGAGCGCAACCCUUGAUCUUAGUUGCCAGCAUUCAGUUGGGCACUCUAAGGUGACUGCCGGUGACAAACCGGAGGAAGGUGGGGAUGACGUCAAAUCAUCAUGCCCCUUAUGACCUGGGCUACACACGUGCUACAAUGGACAGAACAAAGGGCAGCGAAACCGCGAGGUUAAGCCAAUCCCACAAAUCUGUUCUCAGUUCGGAUCGCAGUCUGCAACUCGACUGCGUGAAGCUGGAAUCGCUAGUAAUCGCG
rnacentral:rRNA from 2 species